GCCGUUGUCGCAUAAUCUGGUAUUGCGCGGAGCUCGAACCUCCGUCCCUUGGGAUUCCCGGUUCAAAUCCGGGCAACGGCG
rnacentral:tRNA from 1 species